rnacentral:lncRNA from 1 species
AAGGUCUCAGCUCCUGAGCGACGAGAAGCAGCAGAGGCGAACCGGUUAGCCGUCGUGUUCGAUCAACAGACAAUCCGCUGUUGCGCCGCCGUCUGUUCCCUCUCCCAGUGCGUGCUCACCUCCAGCAGGCGUGCCCUGCUGUCCUCUCCUGCUUGCCGCGAGCCCCCCUGUCGUCCACCGAGCUCCCGGCCCAGAUGUGAGUGAUCCUUUUGCCUCCCAGCUGAUGUUUGUAUUUCCAUCGGUUCUUGCUUGCUUACAUGUACGUGGGAUGCAGGUCCGACGGCAACGAGUUCGCCGAGCUGCUAUGGGAGAACGGGCAGGCAGUGGUGCACGGCCGGAGGAAGCAGACGCAGACUUCGUUCCCGCCCUUCACCUGCGCUGCUGCCAGCAGCAGCCGGGCUCAAGAGAAGCAGCCGGGAAGCGACCCCGUGGCGCUGUUCAAGACGGGAGGUGUCUUCGGCGCCGGUGGAUUGGUAACAUCGGUUCACGACUUCUCUUCCGGCCUAGACGCCACCCGUGACAACGGUGAUCUUGAUGAUACCGUGCCCUGGAUCCACUACCCCAUCAUCGAGGAAGACAGCGCCGCCGCACCUGCCCUUGCAGAGAGCUACAGUCCAGAUUUCUUCUCGGAGCUCCAUGCAGCGGCAGCGGCGGCAGCAGCGACCAACCCCAGCUCUCUGCCGCCGCCUAUCCAGCACACCACCAACAACAGAAGCACCCCGAUUGCCACCACCAGCAGAGAACCAGAACCCUCGAAGGAAAGCCACCGCAUGCCAGUUCCAGGUCCAGCCACCAGGCCUGAACCACCACAAGCCGAGUUCGCGGCCACCAAGCAGACUCGGCUGGGAGGCGGCGCAGAGGGCUUGAUGAACUUCUCCCUCUUCUCUAGGCCGGCAGCCAUGGCGCGAGCAAGCCUGCAGAGCGCACAGAGGCCACCACAAACAGGCACAGACAAGGCGUCCAAUGUCACCACGAGUACCCGCGUGGAGUCCACGGUUCUCCAGUCAUCCAUCGGGCCAAGAACUACUCCUGUUUUCACGGACCAGAGGACGGCGUGGUCACAGCCCAAGGAGGUGCGGUUCUCAUGCACGGCAGCGCCAACCGCUGGUAACCUGCAGCAAGAGAUGCCCCGGGACAGACUUGGCAGCAUGACUCUGCAGAAACAGGUCAAGACCAGGAAGGAGCCUGAGGCCGCAGUCGCUACUUCGUCAGUCUGCUCCGGCAAUGGAGCUGGAAUAGGAAAUGAUGAGUCCUGGCGCCAACACAAGAGGAAGAGUCAAGCCGAGUGUUCUGCCAGCCAAGAUGAUGUAAGUAGAUAAUAUGAUAUGCAAUGUAUUUGAUCUAACCAUAUACCUUGCAGUGCUAAUUGUAGGAUUACUGGUCCUCUUCAGGAUCUUGAAGAUGAGUCCGGUGGUGCCAGAAGAUCUGGCAGCAGAGGCACGAAGCGCAGCCGCACCGCCGAGGUGCACAAUUUGUCAGAAAGGGUAAGCAGGCCGCUUCAC